ensembl:lincRNA
CGGAAAACAAACCAUCAUCCGAUCGUGCAACUGCUGCCUUUACUUUGGUAUUUGGCAAGAGAUAAAGUGUAACCUUUGUGCUCACUCUCUUCUCACUUGUUCCAAAGGUGAAACCGUGCACGAGACCUAUACAACACACGAGCAGGACAUUUUACCUGUGGCGUGCCUCGAGAAUCAGGUUUCAACUUUGGAAGAAAGUGAUGGAGAAACGCAGAUGUAAGAACAGCCAUGGAGCGAGCAAUGAGGCCAAACCUAUGAAGGGAAUGAAACAAAAUGAUGGGAAAAAAGGAGCAAAUCAAACUGUCAAGACAGCUCAAGAUUAUCGUGAAGACAAAAGAGAACUGGGCAAGCAGAAGUAUUGCAAAGUCUCAAAACCAUCUCGACCAGUUGAUGGAGAAGUUUCAAAAACCACUGUAUUUUUCAGUUUCAAAACCACAGUUUAUCAAAACGACAGUUCAGAACCACAGUUUCAAAAACCACAAAAACCACCAACAAAGAGCAAACAGUGUCCUACGACAAAAAUCACUGUAUCACCAACAAAAAGCAAACAGUGUCCAAUGACAAAAACCACUGUAUCACCAACAAAGAGCAAACAGUGUCCCAAGACAAAAAUCACCGGAGCUCAGAAUCCUGCUGAGAGCAAAGAAACACCUGGAGCUUCACCGAUUCGAGGGAAGAAGGUGACAGCUUUGAUUCCUCAAAUAAAAUAUGCUUGUAAGAUGCCGGUGAACAACUUCUAUCAGGCACAGAGACCCAAUUUUAGAGGCGGCUUCAAGGACAAUUCAAAUGAGUCGUAUGACCGUAAAAAGAAUGUACCAAGGUCUCUACAUGGGGAAGUGAAACAAAAACCUGUCUCUUUAAGUACACCCCUUUGCGCUGGGAGACAGCAACACAGUCGUCCCAAGGCUGGCCUGUCCCCCCAGUCUUCACCCGGUCAACAAUGUCAGCGAUUGAAAAAGAAAGGAAGCUUUUCUUUGAAAGAACGAGAAAACGAGAGCCAAAAAGAGUGCAUCACCUCUGAGAAGAGACACAAGGUAACUUCGAAUGUCACAACAAAAGGAAGUGAUGUGGAGGCUUCCACCAAUCAGCUAAAAGAGUACUCAAUCAGCCUCAAAUGAAAAUUCUGUAAAAAGUCAACUUGAACUCACCCAGGAUCGACCGAAUAAGGCAAACCAAACACCAAACAACCAGUCAAGAGACAACGACAAGUACAAGGAGACAGCCAUGGCAAACAUGUCCACAGACUCGGGUGUUCUUGAUCCAAAAUCUGAUGGAUGUAUGACUGCUGGUGCCAAACGUUUACCCCUUUUGGACCAGACAAUUUCAUCACCAAUGAAGAUUUUCACUCCAAUGAAGUGGUGGACAAGAACUGAACAAGAAUUAGUUGAUGAAAAAGUAAGAGUGAAAAAUGAAGAGGGAAAGAAGAAAGAGCCCAAAUGCUUGUUCCUCCUCUGAAGUGAAGUGUACACCUCCAUUUCAAGAUGGAUCCCUCUCCAAGACAAGACAUCUCACUGUGAUUACAAAAGACAACCAAAAAUUGCCGUUCGCUUCAGUGAUGCCUUCGAAAUGCCAGUCCCAAAGGGAUGUCCCAUUGAACCUACAUGAGGAAGAUAAGAUGAAAGUAGCAUUUGAAAUUUCCACCAAAGAUCAAAAAGACAAAACAAUCAAACCAGAAGGUGAGAUCUUGAUGCACAUUUUGCGGUGUUGGUAAAAUUAAACAAAACAUUGAGAUAGACAUCGGACAUUUACAUUUGUCGUGCUGUCAGUUGUUGAAUACAAUAUGCUGGAUGACUCCUUUGCUAGCCUGUGGAUAUUAAAUACUGUAUGUGUGUGUAUAAUGUGUGCAUAUGGUACGUAUAAUAUUGUUGCGGGCCAGGGGUCAGUGGCAAGAAUGACCACGAGGUGGGGGAGGUUGCAUCAUCUCCCAC